rnacentral:rRNA from 1 species
GGUGAGUAAUGCAUCGGAACGUACCUAGUUGUGGGGGAUAGCUCGGCGAAAGCCGGAUUAAUACCGCAUACGUCCUACGGGAGAAAGCAGGGGAUCGCAAGACCUUGCGCAAUUAGAGCGGCCGAUGUCUGAUUAGCUAGUUGGUAGGGUAAAGGCCUACCAAGGCAUCGAUCAGUAGCGGGUCUGAGAGGAUGAUCCGCCACACUGGGACUGAGACACGGCCCAGACUCCUACGGGAGGCAGCAGUGGGGAAUUUUGGACAAUGGGCGCAAGCCUGAUCCAGCCAUUCCGCGUGAGUGAAGAAGGCCUUCGGGUUGUAAAGCUCUUUCGGCAGGAACGAAACGGUUCGCUCUAACAUAGCGGACUACUGACGGUACCUGAAGAAGAAGCACCGGCUAACUACGUGCCAGCAGCCGCGGUAAUACGUAGGGUGCGAGCGUUAAUCGGAAUUACUGGGCGUAAAGCGUGCGCAGGCGGCUUUUUAAGCCAGAUGUGAAAUCCCCGGGCUUAACCUGGGAACUGCAUUUGGAACUGGAAGGCUAGAGUGCGGCAGAGGGGGGUAGAAUUCCACGUGUAGCAGUGAAAUGCGUAGAGAUGUGGAGGAAUACCGAUGGCGAAGGCAGCCCCCUGGGUCGACACUGACGCUCAUGCACGAAAGCGUGGGGAGCAAACAGGAUUAGAUACCCUGUAGUCCACGCCCUAAACGAUGUCAACUAGUUGUUGAGGAGUGAAAUCCUUUAGUAACGAAGCUAACGCGUGAAGUUGACCGCCUGGGGAGUACGGUCGCAAGAUU